rnacentral:lncRNA from 1 species
GACAAGGCUCGAGCCUCCAUGGACAAGUCCGACCCUACUCGUGAUCCUGACGACAUCGAUCUCGACGCCGGCGCUAAGGCGUCGUCGGAUGAAAUCGACCCUGCAGCUGCCUCCUCCUCCUCCUCAGCGGCCCCCUCUGAUUGAUUAAUCCUGCCAUCCAAAACUACCAAUAAGUUGCUUAUUCCCCUCUACAUAUUCCUACGAGUUAGAUCUGAUAUUGUUUUUUAUUGCUUCAAAUUUCUGGAUUGGUAUAGAUUUGAAUCUGUGUUCUCUUAAUUUGUUGAAUCAAACUUAUAGUUUUGAAAUUUCGCAUUAAGAUUUUUAAACCCUGUUCGACGAUUACGAAUUGAUAAAAAUAUCGGUGAUAUCAAACGAGCGUAAACAGAAUCGAUUCAUCAAAAUCAUAUGAUAUGAUUUACAUGCUUACCAAUCUGUCUAUGGAGUUAAUGCAAGCAUCCGGCAACAACCAAGCUGUUAAUCAUUAUGUAAAGCAUGUGUUGUGGCCGGCAUAGGUCCAUCCGGAGAUCUAUCUAAUUCAUUAAUGAAGAAGAUAAUGAUCCUUUAAAACAAUGAACAUGUAUCAUCACUUAUUAUCCAUGCC